rnacentral:tRNA from 1 species
GUGUUGUAAUUGGAACCUUGGUCAACAUCCCGGAAUUUAUGAAUGAGAGGAUUGUGAUUCCUGUCGUCGUGGGUUCGAGUCCCAUCAGCCACCCCA